rnacentral:rRNA from 1 species
GAUGAACGCUGACAGAAUGCUUAACACAUGCAAGUCGACUCGAGUCUUCGGACUUGGGUGGCGCACGGGUGAGUAACGCGUAAAGAACUUGCCUCUUAGACCGGGACAACAUCUGGAAACGGAUGCUAAUACCGGAUAUUAUGGUUUUUUCGCAUGGAGGAAUCAUGAAAGCAGGAUGCGCUAAGAGAGAGCUUUGCGUCCCAUUAGCUAGUUGGUGAGGUAACGGCCCACCAAGGCAAUGAUGGGUAGCCGGCCUGAGAGGGUGAACGGCCACAAGGGGACUGAGACACGGCCCUUACUCCUACGGGAGGCAGCAGUGGGGAAUAUUGGACAAUGGACCGCAAGUCUGAUCCAGCAAUUCUGUGUGCACGAUGACGUUUUUCGGAAUGUAAAGUGCUUUCAGUCGGGAAGAAGUCAGUGACGGUACCGACAGAAGAAGCGACGGCUAAAUACGUGCCAGCAGCCGCGGUAAUACGUAUGUCGCAAGCGUUAUCCGGAUUUAUUGGGCGUAAAGCGCGUCUAGGCGGCAAGGAAAGUCUGAUGUGAAAAUGCGGAGCUCAACUCCGUAUGGCGUUGGAAACUGCCUUACUAGAGUACUGGAGAGGUAGGCGGAACUACAAGUGUAGAGGUGAAAUUCGUAGAUAUUUGUAGGAAUGCCGAUGGGGAAGCCAGCCUACUGGACAGAUACUGACGCUAAAGCGCGAAAGCGUGGGUAGCAAACAGG